UUAUAGCCGCUUUGUGCUUGUGAAAGCGCAGUAACUGGACUAUGACCACCAGAUGUCGCUUAAUAUUGCGUGGCCAUGUACACGUAUUUUUGAGCCGUCUGAAAAGUGGUUGCGUUUUUGUGUUUGUCAUGAUUUUUGGUGCUGGUUGGAUGUGCAUCGCCAUGCCUUCUCGACCCCUGUUCUCGAACCAUUGUUGCGGGCAGCUCGCAAACGCAGUUACCUGGCCAGCGAGCCCUGUCUUACUGCCCCAAGCCCGCCUCGCCCCGCCUCUCUCCUGCGUUCAGAGGGGAGAAGAGUUGCGAAGACACAGCGUUAUAACGUCCCUAAAAGUAGCGGGGCUUCAUCCGAGUAAGCGAACGUGGAAACGCGCAGAAGCGAACAUCCGAGAUGAAGACACCAUUCCGUGUCAAAUGAGAGUCCUCCAGGAUUUCCAGAGACCUGUCACUCCAUGAUUUCGUGACCUUGGACGUACUGACCUCUGAGGGAAUGUGGAACUGUUUCUAUGACUUUGAACACAUCUGUGCCCUCACAAAAAAGAAGCAAGAGAAGCAUUCCAGAGAUACUGUCAGAACUAGAGGAAAAGGAUUCGAAAGGAAACCGUGAUCACAGACGUUAACAGGCUGAAGGAAAGCCAAGCCAAGAAGAGGGUAUGUAUGUUUGUAAUGAGGAAUCCAUUCACAGCGUAGCUCUUCUGUUGGCAUUCAUAUGUAAAUGACCACACACACAGAUUUUAUUUUCACUUAAUAAUUGCCCACCUCUUUCACUAAUAUGUUUUUGUCAAUGCCACCCAAGCUUAUAUUCACAGAUUGCAUAUUUAAUAUAUUCCACUGUGGUAGCAACUGAUGUUAGCAAUUAUUUCAUCUCAUUUUU